rnacentral:lncRNA from 1 species
UGGUAUAGUGGAUAGAGCAUUUGGCUUGGAGUUAUGAAGAUCUGAGUUUUCAUUUGACUUCAGACAUUUCCUAGUUAUCCCAGGUGCAGGUGGAGGAACCUCUGUUCAACCCAGGAGUUCCUUUUUUGACAACCUUAGAGGUAAGAUUUUAGGCUGAAUAGCUAAUAGGGAAGCCCUGGGAAUUUGGGGUACCUGGGA